GUAAACUAGUUAUGCUUAAAUUAAGUUCUUUAUUUCAAUUAUCAAAGAGGAAAUUGUACUACGAAAAAUGUGAUUGCCUGUGUGUUAGUUUGAGCUUCAUUUGCACACAGUAUGAGUUGUUUAUAGAGCGAAUGAACAUCAAUAGUCUAUCUAGGUUAUCCUCGCAAAAUUUUAGUUGAGAUUUAGUUAUCCAUUGUACUUCCAUCAAUUAGUACUAUAAUUUGGUCAAUUUGCAAAGUGUUUAAAUUUGAAAUUCGAAUUAUAUUACCAAAGAAUAACCUAUAAAGUGGUGUGAGCUUGUAGAUUGUGUGAUUAGGCUAGGUGAGUCCCACUGCUGGAUACAUAAGGAUCCAUCAAGCAGUUAUCGGAUUGAAGCAAUCACUUACCCUUGAGCAUCUAAUGGGUUAUCACUUUCUGUUUGCAUUGCUAGAGCUGGAGAAAAAGCUGAAAGGAUCAAAACCAAUUUUGGUUAGAAAAGAACCCAAUUCUGGAACACUACUCAAGUGGUCUUUUCUAUGGUGGUGGAGAACCUGGAGAUGCAUAGCCUAGGUUGCUUUGUAUGGAGCCUUGCAAUUUCCAUUCGAACAAAGUGAGUUUGAGUUCUUAACUCAAAAUUUAUCUACUGGUUCCUUUAACUUUGUGUUCAGAACUAAAAUUAUAAUUACUGGUUACUACUUUCCCAUCCAUAGCGUCAAUUGCAGAAAGAUAUUAGGAAUGAGUCAAUUUGACCUUUUAGUUGCCAACAAACUUAGAGAUGGAAUUAGUGAUUCUUCUUUUUCCUUCCCCAUAAAUACUAUGUAAUAUGUGAUAUUCUUAAGUUUUGCACACUGAUGAUGUAAAAUAUGUAUUCUUCUUAAAUUAACCUUUGAUUUCUGUCACAAAGAGGCAGUCUAGAUGAGUUAAUAUCAGCUUUUUACCUGGUUUAAACUGAAUAGAUUCAAGAUUACUUGCCUAUACAGCAAUGACCACAAUGUUUUCCAAUUACCAUAUAAAAAAAGGAAUAGGCAUUGAAGAGAGUCAGCAUAGAAAGACAAUCAGAAAGAAAAGCAUUUGGCAUACACUUUUAGCAAAGAAAUGUAACAUCCACCCGGUAACCUUCGUCACCGUACUCUCUUGAUAGCUUCAAUAGUUCACUGAAAGGCUUGAGAAAUGGGAAAUAGCGUUGGUAAGGUUAUUAAAUUGGGCAGAGAAGCAAAGUAGGGUGAUCCAGUUAUGAGACUAUCUGAUUGAAGAUCUCAUAACUCUGGUGGUCUUUGGGACUGAGACCAUGGACCAAUUGAUAUGUGCCAGUUAUGCUUACCGUGAUGCCCUUAAGCUAUCCUGAAAUUUG